AUUGUCCCUGUCUAGCCCUGCCUUUGAAGGUGAAGUAUUUAGCUAACAUUAUCAUCUUGAUAGUACACACUUUAUACAAAAAAGUUUAUAUUUUGACUGAGGAUCUGCAAUAGGGUUAAGUAGUCCGCAGAAUAUAUCUGGAUAACUGGGGCGGGAGAAUAAAGGCACCACUCAAAGUCACAAUCUAAUUUUAACCCCUUAAGGACACGACAUGCAUGACCUGUCAUGAUUCCCUUUUAUUCCAGAAGUUUGGUCCUUAAGGGGUUAACUCACAUUGAAAGAGAGUGCCACUGAGAACUUCACAUUUACUUGAGUUACCCUUAUAUAAAAAGGAUGUUACAUAGUUACAUAGCUGAAAAGAGACUUGCGUCCAUCAAGUUCAGCCUUCCUCACAUUUGUU